GAUGAAGAACGUAGCGAAAUGCGAUAAGUAAUGUGAAUUGCAGAAUUCAGUGAAUCAUCGAAUCUUUGAACGCAUCUUGCGCUCCUUGGUAUUCCGAGGAGCAUGCCUGUUUGAGUGUCAUUAAAGUUCUCAACCAUGCCAGUUUUCUCUGGUCCAUGGCCUUGGAUGUGGGGGGUUUAUCAUGUUGCUGGCUUUGGAGACAAAGUCGGCUCCCCUGAAAUGCAUUAGUAGUAUUCGAGCAGAAAUCUACCACAGGUGUGAUGAAUUAUCUAUGCCUUGGUAUCAACUGUGUGCACUGCUUUCUCUAACAACAUUUGACAAAUUUGACCUCAAAUCAGGCAGGACUACCCGCUGAACUUAAGCAUAUCAAUAAGCGGAGGA
rnacentral:misc_RNA from 1 species